rnacentral:rRNA from 1 species
UCAUUUCCNCNGGNGNANUNGNNAUGGGCGNANGCAGCCUUCUGGCAUCAUACUGACACNGUAGGCUCGAAAGCGUGGGUAGNGGGCNGACUUNNAUACCCUGGNAGUCCACGCCGUAAACGANGNCNACAAAAAUAAGAUUGGGUCCCUUGAGGACUUAGUGACGCAGCUAACGCAAUAAGUAGACCGCCUGGGGAGUACGGCCGCAAGGUUAAAACUCAAAUGAAUUGACGGGGGCCCGCACAAGCAGUGGAGCAUGUGGUUUNAUUUGAUGCUACGCUAAAAACCUUAACCUGGUCUUGACAUAUCUAGAAUCCUGCAGAGAUGCGGGAGUGCCUUCGGGAAUUAGAAUACAGGUGCUGCAUGGCUGUCGUCAGCUCGUGUCGUGAGAUGUUGGGUUAAGUCCCGCAACGAGCGCAACCCUUGUCCUUAGUUACCAGCGGGUUAAGCCGGGAACUCUAAGGAUACUGCCAGUGACAAACUGGAGGAAGGCGGGGAGGACGUCAAGUCAUCAUGGCCCUUACGACCAGGGCUACACACGUGCUACAAUGGUAGGUACAGAGGGCAGCUACACAGCGAUGUGAUGCGAAUCUCAAAAAGCCUAUCGUAGUCCAGAUUGGAGUCUGCAACUCGACUCCAUGAAGUAGGAAUCGCUAGUAAUCGCGGAUC